rnacentral:lncRNA from 1 species
GUUGACCAGGAUGGUCUCGAUCUCUUGACCUCGUGAUCCACCCACCUAUGCCUCCCAAAGUGCUGGGAUUACAGGCUUGAGCCACCACACCUGGCCCCAUUCUCUCUUAAAAAACGUCUCCAGAUUUGCUAAGAAGCCCCCAAUUGAGAACCACUGCACUAGAAGCAAAAAUAAACCAUGCACAUAAAUACUUAAAAUACAAGAAGAAAGUGCAAUAAGACACAGUAGACACAAGAAUAGCUUCUGGAGUCAGUUGUCCUGAACUUGAAUUCUGCUUCUACCAAACAGAUUAUGUAACCUCUCCAUUCUUUAGUUUCUUUACCUGUAAAACUGGGCUAUAUGGUAAUACCUAUCAUAUCUUGGGUUCUAGUGAAAAUUAAAGGCUAGUGUGUGUGUGUGUGUGUGUGUGUGUGUGUGUGUGAGAGAGAGAGAGAGAGAGAGAUUAGAAUAGGUGUUCACACCACAUUGUCAACACUAAAAAAUGUUAGCUGUUAUUUUUCCAAUAAAGAAAUAUUCCACAAUUCAAAUUUGAAAGAGGUACAUGGAAGUAGAGAAGGGGAGAGUCUUUCCAGACAGCUGCAUCUUUAAUUAAGGCUUUGAGCUAGAGAAUUGCUGAGUCAUCUAUAACUUUAUAAUAAAUGUCAAUGUGAAUGGAUGAUUCUAAUAGAAUCUCUUUGUUUUUGAAGAGUGAAUGGAAACUGCUUUAAGUAAUGUAUCUAAUAAUUCAUCUCCAAGCUUCUUCCUCAAAUGUUCAUUUGAUCCUUGUUAUUGAUUAUAGAUAAGAAUAUGGCAUGGUCACUCCACGUUGUUUGUGAAGAUCUUCAGAUUUAUUUUAUUGAACAAGAUAAAUAAUGCAAUUGUGCUCUUGUCAGUUUCAACAGAGAAAUCACACAUCAGUGAAUACUCAGCACCAAAGGAAAUACUGAAAAAUAUUGAAAAUCAAACUGGAACUAGCAUUCCAUCCCUCACUGGAGUACUGUGUCUUCACCUCUUUAUAGUGUGAUCAUGGUGACUUAGAAAAAUACAGGUGACAAUACAGGUAAAAAUAUAAGGUAACAGUAACCUUUAAAUUCACUAAUCCAAACCUUUACCCUUUUUUCCAAUGUGAUGCUGAGGGGAAAGGGAAUAAGAGAACAGGGGACCAAACAGUUUAAGCAAGUUUGUUCGUUUGUUUGUUAAUGUAUAAUAGCCAAAUUUCCAGAAAAAAAAACACCACAAAAGACCUAAACUGGCACAUGUCGGAGCCUGAUGAAUCUUAGACCCUGGCUCAGGUCUAAGCUUGCAAAAGGGUGAAACAGCCUCAAACGUGGGGGCUAAGAUGCUGUGAGUAGAG